AACGAACGCUAGCGGCGUGCCUAACACAUGCAAGUCGAGCGAGAAAGGGAGGCAACUCCUCAGUAAAGCGGCAGACGGGUGAGUAAGACGUGAGUAACCUGGCUAUGGGACGGGGAUAACCCACCGAAAGGCGGGCUAAUACCCGAUAAGCUCCGAGGGGGAAGGCUUCUCGGAGGAAAGGCUGGCCUCUGGAAGAGAAGCUGGCGCCUGGAGGGGGGCUCGCGGCCUAUCAGCUAGUUGGGGAGGUAACGGCUCCCCAAGGCGAUGACGGGUAGCU
rnacentral:rRNA from 1 species